GUCCAUGCCGUAAACGAUGGAUACUUGUUGUUGGAGGUAUUGACCCCUUCAGUGACGAAGCUAACGCGUUAAGUAUCCCGCCUGGGAAGUACGGUCGCAAGAUUAAAACUCAAAGAAAUUGACGGGGCCCGCACAAGCGGUGGAGCAUGUGGUUUAAUUCGAUGCAACGCGAAAACCUUACCUGGGUUUGACAUACAGUGGAAGAUCUCUAGAGAUAGGAUCGCCUUCGGGUCGCUGUACAGGUGCUGCAUGGCUGUCGU
rnacentral:rRNA from 1 species